rnacentral:rRNA from 1 species
AGCCCAAACCAACUGGUUUCGGCCAGUUGGGGUUUCGGACAUUUUCAUUAAAGAGCAGAGUAUUGAUAGUCGAAUCGUUUGGGAAAGCGAGUCAAAGAGGGUAAGAACCCCGUAGACGAAAUCAAGAAAAGAUCUGAGAAUGCUCCAGAGUACCACCGGACACGAGAAACCCGGUGGGAAGAUGGGGGGACCACCCCCCAAGGCUAAAUACGACCCAGUGACCGAUAGCGAAUAGUACCGUGAGGGAAAGGUGAAAAGAACCCCGGGAGGGGAGUGAAAAAGAACCUGAAACCCUUUGCUUACAAGCUGUGGGAGCAUUUUUAACGAAUGUGACCGCGUACUUUUUGUAGAACGGGCCAACGAGUUGCGAUUGGUAGCAAGGUUAAGUUCUUCAGGAACGGAGCCGUAGCGAAAGCGAGUCUUAAUAGGGCGAGAUAGUUACCGGUUGCAGACCCGAAACCGUGCGAUCUACCCAUGGCCAGGUUGAAGCGAGAGUAAAAUCUCGUGGAGGACCGAACCAGGUGACGUUGAAAAGUCAUUGGAUGAGCUGUGGGUAGGGGAGAAAUUCCAAUCGAGCACGGAAAUAGCUGGUUCUCGCCGAAAUAGCUUUAGGGCUAGCCUUGGGAAGAGACGACAGGAGGUAGAGCACUGAAUGGUCUAGGGGCCUUCACCGGUUACCAACACCUAUCAAACUCCGAAUGCCAGUCGUUAUACCCAGGAGUCAGACUGCGAGUGAUAAGAUCCGUAGUCGAGAGGGAAACAGCCCAGACCAACAACUAAGGUCCCAAAGUGUAUGUUAAGUGGAAAAGGAUGUGAGAUUGCAUAGACAACCAGGAUGUUGGCUUAGAAGCAGCCAUACAUUUAAAGAGUGCGUAAUAGCUCACUGGUCCAGGGAUCUUGCGCCGAAAAUAACCGGGGCUAAAACAUACCACCGAAGUUUUGGAUGUAGAAAUACAUGGUAGGCGAGCAAUGCGUGCUGGACGAAGUCAGAUUGUGAAGUCUGGUGGACGGCACACAAGAGAGAAUGUUGGCAUGAGUAACGAGAGGCAGGUGAGAAACCUGCCCGUCGAAAACCCAAGGUUUCCUGAGGAAGGCUCGUCCGCUCAGGGUAAGUCGGGACCUAAGCCGAGGCCGAAAGGCGUAGGCGAUGGAUAACAGGUGGAGAUUCCUGUACCACCGAGAUUCAUUUGAGAGAAGUGGGGACACAGGAGGAUAGACCGAGCGCGCCGUUGGUC